UACAGAGGUCUCAAGCGUUGUUCGGAUUCAUUGGGCGUAAAGGGUGCGUAGGCGGCGCGGUAAGUCGGGUGUGAAAUCUCGGAGCUUAACUCCGAAACUGCAUUCGAUACUGCCGUGCUUGAGGACUGGAGAGGAGACUGGAAUUUACGGUGUAGCGGUGAAAUGCGUAGAUAUCGGGAGGAACACCAGUGGCGAAGGCGACUACCUGCCUGUUCUUGACGCUGAGGCGCGAAAGCUAGGGUAGCAAACGGG
rnacentral:rRNA from 1 species